UACGAAGGGGGCUAGCGUUGCUCGGAAUCACUGGGCGUAAAGGGUGCGUAGGCGGGUCUUUAAGUCAGGGGUGAAAUCCUGGAGCUCAACUCCAGAACUGCCUUUGAUACUGAAGAUCUUGAGUUCGGGGAGAGGUGAGUGGAACUGCGAGUGUAGAGGUGAAAUUCGUAGAUAUUCGCAAGAACACCAGUGGCGAAGGCGGCUCACUGGCCCGGUACUGACGCUGAGGUGCGAAAGCGUGGGGAGCAACAGG
rnacentral:rRNA from 1 species